CCUACGGGUGGCAGCAGUGGGGAAUAUUGCGCAAUGGGCGCUAGCCUGAACCAGCCAAGCCGCGUGAAUGACGACUGCCCUCUGGGUUGUAAACUUUUUUUAUAUGGGAAUAAAUUCCAGUAUGUAUACUGCUUUGCAUGUACCUUAUGUAUAUAGAUCGGCUAACUCAGUGCCAGCAGCCCCGGUACUACGGAGGAUCCGAGCGUUAUUCGGAUUGAUUGGGCUUAAAGGGAACGUAGGCGGGUUGUUAAGUCAGUUGUGAAAGUUUGCGGUUCAACCGUAAUAUGGCAGGUGAUACUGGCAUCCUUGAGUACAGGAGAGGAAUGCGGAAUUCGUGGUGUAGCGGUGAAAUGCGUAGAUAUCAGGAAGAACACCGAUUGCGAAGGCAGCCAGCUGGACUGUAACUGACGCUGAUGUGCGAAAGUGUGGGUAGCAAACAGGAUUAGAUACCCUUGUAGUC
rnacentral:rRNA from 1 species